rnacentral:rRNA from 1 species
CUCUGCGCCUGCCUCUACCUCCGAUCGGUGCCGUUCGACGUGGACAUCACGGUGCCCGUGCGGCUGCAGCUCGGCGGCGUGAGGACGUGGGCCGUGCCGGUGACGGUUCGGUGCGCCAUGACGGUGGACAGGCUCGCCGCCAGCGCCAAGGUGGUGUCCAGGCCGUGCGACGUCAAUGUGCCGUUCUUGUUCCGUUCUGGAGGAACUGACGCCGCCGAUACAAGAAAAAAUGGCUACUGGCUGAUUAGGAGAGCAGUUCUUGCAGGUAGCGGCCAAGGAUUCAUGCUGCUUCCGUGA